GCACGGAGCAGCGUGGGAAUCUCGGGGGGAAGGCGCGGGGGGUGGGAGGGAAGUAACCAGCCAGACCUGUGUGCGUCCACGCGUGGCCCACGGACACGGACCAUUAGAUGGACCAGGCCCCCAUCUAGUGACUGGGCUGGGGAACAGCUGCCUGACCGUUCCCGCCUCAGAAUCUCAUAAACCGAAGCCCGUCCUGUUAUUCCUCUGCUGAAAUCCCUUUGCCGGGCUUCCACCGCCCCAUCGUUGCUUUUGGAUUUGUCUCCCCGUUAAGAAGGCCGGGUAGAUAACCACGGAGCCGGAGCUCCCGUCCCAGAGGAACUGCCUGUGUGCGAGUCUUAUGCCUCAAACCUCCCUCUCCCUUCCUCUCUAAAAUAUAUAUAUUAAAAUAAAGAA